rnacentral:rRNA from 1 species
AGAGUUUGAUCCUGGCUCAGAACGAACGCUGGCGGCGUGGAUAAGACAUGCAAGUCGAACGCGAUUUUCUCGGUUAGCAAUAACUGAGAAAAUUGAGUGGCGAAUGGGUGCGUAACACGUGGGAAUUUAUCCGGAAGUGGGGGAUAGCUUGCCGAAAGGCAAAUUAAUACCGCAUAUGCCCGUAAGGGCAAAGUGGGGGACCGCAAGGCCUCACGCUAUCGGAGGAGCCCGCGCCCUAUCAGCUAGUUGGUGAGGUAAUGGCUCACCAAGGCUUAGACGGGUAGCUGGUCUGAGAGGACGACCAGCCACACUGGAACUGAGACACGGUCCAGACACCUACGGGUGGCAGCAGUCGAGGAUUUUUCUCAAUGGGGGCAACCCUGAAGGAGCGACGCCGCGUGGAGGAUGAAGGGCUUCGGCUCGUAAACUCCUGUCACCGACGAACAAGGCAUCCGAAUUAAUAAAUCGGAUGCUUGAUGGUAGUCGGAGAGGAAGGGGCGGCUAACUCUGUGCCAGCAGCCGCGGUGAUACAGAGGCCCCAAGCGUUGUUCGGAUUUACUGGGCGUAAAGGGUGUGUAGGGGGUCGUGUAAGUUUGACGUGAAAUCCCGUUG